CCAAUCCUAAUUUUCCCCUUUUCCCCAGCCUCAGAACGCAGCCCUCACCCCACCUUUCUUCCAAAACACUAACACCCAAACAAAAGAAAGAAACAAAGAAAUGGAAAGGGAGAACAGAGAGCGUGGAAUCAGAGAAGAGGGAGCCACACUCUGCUCUGUCCAGCUCGCCACCGCAGCACCUCGCCUUGCCAUCACCGUUGCUGGAGCAAGGUCACAUCGCCAUCAGAUUUGAAGCCGUUGAGGAGCUGAACGCUCGCGAGGGAGAGGACAAACACGAGGAGAGCUUGUGCGCGAAGGGUAGCGCCGCUGUGUCUCUGUCGCGCCUUCAUCACUGUCGAAGCUGCACUUUCGCGUCACCAUCGUUGUGCCUCCACCGAACCCGUCACACCGCUGCUGUUGCGAUGUCAUACCUGUCGUGAGGGAGAAGAGAUGCGUGAGGAAGGAAGCUCUGUCGCGUCUGAUCUCUGUUAUCGCCGCGUCGCCGCCACUGAAGGUCCGCCGCCAUUGUUUUCAUCGCCUCCAUGCUUCAUGUUCAUCCUGCCAAUCAUCACUGUCUUUGUUCGGUAUUGCUGUCCUUAUCCGGAACCACCGAUGUCAUUGUUGUUGCUUCCCCAGAAGAACUGAGGUUACUGCUACUGUUCCGGCCGUACUAGCUAUUGUAAACUGGAAAAAGAAGGGGAUCGCCACGUUUAAAUUCGACGGUUUCGACUAACUGAGUGACACAGGUUUGAAGACGUGAUUUGAAGCUGCGAGCGAUUAGUAGGUUUUCUUUAUGGUUUUAAUUGCUUUCAUAGAGUCCCCUCGCUCUUGUCCUUUGAGGUUUUAUUUUAACAGAGGGGUAGGUGUUGUAUUUGGGUUUAUAUGACUUCUUAUGUAUAAGAGUUACUAUUAAUAAUACUUAUAUGAUUAUUAUUAUUA